GACGAACGCUGGCGGCGUGCCUAAUACAUGCAAGUCGAACGGACCUUGCUUGGACGGAGUGGAGUACUUGUACAAAGCGAAGACUGAGCGCUGGUUAGUGGCGAACGGGUGAGUAACACGUAGGUAACCAACCGAUAAGACGAGGACAACUCAUGGAAACGUGAGCUAAUACUGGAUGUGGUAUAGAGAAGGCAUCUUUUCUAUAUUAAAGGAGCUUUUGGCUUCACUUAUUGAUGGACCUGCGGCGUAUUAGCUAGUUGGUAGGGUAGAAGCCUACCAAGGCGAUGAUACGUAGCCGAUCUGAGAGGAUAAACGGCCACACUGGGACUGAGAUACGGCCCAGACUCCUACGGGAGGCAGCAGUAGGGAAUUUUCCACAAUGGACGAAAGUCUGAUGGAGCAACGCCGCGUGUGUGAAGAAGGUUUUCGGAUUGUAAAGCACUGUUGUAUGGGAAGAAUAAGGUAAUGAGGAAAUGAAUUACUG
rnacentral:rRNA from 1 species